rnacentral:rRNA from 1 species
UACGUAGGGUGCAAGCGUUGUCCGGAAUUAUUGGGCGUAAAGAGCUCGUAGGCGGUCUGUCGCGUCUGCUGUGAAAAUCAGGGCUCAACCCUGGACCUGCAGUGGGUACGGGCAGACUAGAGUGCGGUAGGGGAGAUCGGAAUUCCUGGUGUAGCGGUGAAAUGCGCAGAUAUCAGGAGGAACACCUAUGGCGAAGGCAGCUCGCUGGGACGUUACUGACGCUGAGACGCGAAAGCGUGGGGAGCAAACAGG